rnacentral:rRNA from 1 species
UACGUAGGGGGCUAGCGUUGUCCGGAAUCAUUGGGCGUAAAGCGCGUGUAGGCGGUCCGGUAAGUCCGCUGUGAAAGUCGGGGGCUCAACCCUCGAAUGCCGGUGGAUACUGUCGGGUUAGAGUGCGGAAGAGGCGAGUGGAAUUCCUGGUGUAGCGGUGAAAUGCGCAGAUAUCGGAAGGAACAUCAGUGGCGAAAGCGACUUCCUGGACCAGUACCGACGUUCAGGCACGAAAGCGUGGGGAGCAAACAGG